GGAAGGAUCAUUACAGAAUUGUCAACGGGUUGUUGCUGGUCCUCAAACGGGGACACGUGCACGCUCUGUUUACACAUCCACUCACACCUGUGCACCCUCCGUAGUUCUACGGUCUGGGGGACCCUGUCUUCCUGCCGUGGUUCUACGUCUUUACACACACACUGUAAUAAAGUCUUAUGGAAUGUAUGCCGCGUCUAACGCAAUACAAUACAACUUUCAGCAACGGAUCUCUUGGCUCUCGCAUCGAUGAAGAACGCAGCGAAAUGCGAUAAGUAAUGUGAAUUGCAGAAUUCAGUGAAUCAUCGAAUCUUUGAACGCACCUUGCGCCCCUUGGCUAUUCCGAGGGGCAUGCCUGUUUGAGUAUCAUGAACACCUCAACUCUCAUGGUUCGCCGUGAUGAGUUUGGACUCUGGGGGUUUUGCUGGCCUGUGGUCGGCUCCCCUCAAAUGAAUCAGCCUCCCAGUGUUUGGUGGCAUCACGGGUGUGAUAAAUAUCUACGCUCGCAGUUGUCCGCCAGGUAACCUUUGGUGACAAAGGUUCGCUGGAGCUCACAGAUGUCUCUCCUCGGUGAGGACAGCUUUUUGAACGUUCGAUCUCAAAUCAGGUAGGACUACCCGCUGAACUUAAGCAUAUCAAUAAGCGGAGGAA
rnacentral:sRNA from 1 species